AUUGAACGCUGGCGGCAGGCUUAACACCUGCAAGUCGAGCGAGCGGCGGACGGGUGAGUAAUGUCUGGGAAACUGCCUGAUAGAGGGGGAUAACUACUGGAAACGGUGGCUAAUCCCGCAUACCAUCAGAUGUGCCCAUAUGGGAUUAGCUAGUAGGUGGGGUAAUGGCUCACCUAGGCUACGAUACCUAGCUGGUCUGAGAGGAUGACCAGCGACACUGGAACUGAGACACGGUCCAGACUCCUACGGGAGGCAGCAGUGGGGAAUAUUGCACAAUGGGCGCAAGCCGGAUGCAGCCAUGCCGCGUGUGUGAAGAAGGCCUUCGGGUUGUAAAGCACUUUCAGCGAGGAGGCGUUACUCGCAGAAGAAGCACCGGCUAAGUCCGUGCCAGCAGCCGCGGUAAUAC
rnacentral:rRNA from 1 species